rnacentral:tRNA from 1 species
UCCCGGAUAGCUCAGUCAGGCAGAGCACGGCGUCGGCAAAGUCCGGCGCUAUGGUGUCCCAGGUUCGAAUCCUGGUCCGGGGAACA